rnacentral:rRNA from 1 species
GAUGAACGCUAGCUACAGGCUUAACACAUGCAAGUCGAGGGGAAACGACAUCGAAAGCUUGCUUUUGAUGGGCGUCGACCGGCGCACGGGUGAGUAACGCGUAUCCAACCUGCCCAUCACUUGGGGAUAACCUUGCGAAAGUAAGACUAAUACCCAAUGAUAUCUCUAGAAGACAUCUGAAAGAGAUUAAAGAUUUAUCGGUGAUGGAUGGGGAUGCGUCUGAUUAGCUUGUUGGCGGGGUAACGGCCCACCAAGGCAACGAUCAGUAGGGGUUCUGAGAGGAAGGUCCCCGACAUUGGAACUGAGACACGGUCCAAACUCCUACGGGAGGCAGCAGUGAGGAAUAGUGGUCAAUGGGCGAGAGCCUGAACCAGCCAAGUAGCGUGCAGGAAGACGGCCCUAUGGGUUGUAAACUGCUUUUAUAAGGGAAUAAAGUGAGAGUCGUGACUCUUUUUGUAUGUACCUUAUGAAUAAGGACCGGCUAAUUCCGUG